UGGUGAGUUGCAUGAAAAGGUAUGUAUAUAUGGAGCAAACCACAAGGUUUCAUACAGCAGGCUCCCAGGACUUGGUUCUUAACUCUUUCUUCUACUUUACAUAUUUUUUGUUUUAAGAAUACUAAAUCAGAUCCAUUUCUAUUCAUACGAAGAACAACUGACUCAAUCAUUUUUCUAUUAGCCUAUGCGGAUUACAUUUUGAUUACAGGAAAAUCCUGUUCCAACACCAAUGGUUUCUUCUACAAAACUACAUUAUAAAUGAUGUUGAGCCAUUUGAUGACCCUAAAUUCUAUAGGUCCAUUGCAGGGGCAUUGCAAUAUCUUACACUAACUCGACCUGAUAUUACAUAUUCAAUGCACAAAGUUUGUCAAUAUAUGAACUGUCCCACUGUCAACCAUUGGAGAGCAAUCAAGAAAAUCUUGAGAUAUGUAAAAGCUACCAUGUAUCAAGGCUUGGUUUUUUUUCAGAAGAUUUUAGGUUGUUGGCAUUUGCAAAUGCUGAUUAGGAGCAGACGUUGAUGACAUACAGAAAAUCAAUUACAGGAUAUUGUGUGUAUCUUGGAUCAAAUUUGGGAGCAUGGAAAAGUAAUAAGAAAUAGGCAGGGAGUAGGUGGAGAACUGAGGCAAAGUAUAGAACACUUGCAACAGCUCAAGCAAAGUUGGUAUGGAUCCAAAAUCUUCUCCCUCUACGCACUCCACCAACUAUCUAUUGCGACAACCAAGCAGAUUGCUUACUUGCAGAAAAUCCAGUUCUUCGCAGUAGGUCAGCACAUUUCGAGCUGGAUUUGCAUUUCAUAAGGAAGCAUGUUAGCAAGAAGAAGUUAUAGAGAAAAGAGAGAUAGCACAUAGCAGAACAACAGUGACUUGUAUCUCAAGGAAGAAGAUAGUCUGUUGUAUACCAUUCAAGGUUAGAAUGUAGUUAGUGAGUCGUAAUCUGUUAGCCAGUGAAGGUAGUAGGUAGUUAGAGUUGUGACUAUAAAUAGGAGAAUGUAUGUGAUAAUUUGUAAUCAAUACACUUGUGUUCUCAUUCUUUCUCAUCUCUCUUGGUGUUCAAGUUCAUUAUCUGCUUCUUGUGUUCUUCAUUCAAGAACCAUAUUCAUCAAA